CACAUGUGCAAGUGUGUGUGUGUGUGUGUGUGUGUGUGUAAAGAAAGAGAGAAAAAGAGAGAGACAAAGACAGCUAAAUGACAGUAGAGAGAGUACCUAGCCUGGAGUUAGCAAGAUUCAUUUCCCUGAAUUUAAAUCUGACCUCAGAUAAUUAACACCUUUGUCACUUAACCCAAUUUGCCUCAGUUACUUCAUCUAUAAGAUGAAGGAAAUGGCAAAUUAUCCAAUAUCUUUGUUAAAUGGGACACAGAGAGUCAGAUACUACUGAAAACAAUUAAACCACUAUAAAUAAAUGAAUGUAUAUAUAAACGCAUAUGUGAUAUCCACAUACUUGUUUCUUUGCUAUUUUACAGAUGAGGAAACAGAGGCUCAAUCAAACUGAAAUUAGUCAGGUACACUGAUAUUAUUAAGACAGAAGAACUAGAUUUGGAUCCAGAUUUCAUCCUAUAUCCAAUCCCAUUUCCAAUUUUUCUCAAAAGGUAACCAAUCCAAAUGCACACAAUUGGAUCCAGAAAUGACAACUGAAGAUAACAGAUUAGAGGCAGCACCUCAACAUCUAAUUUUUUCAACAUCCCUCUCUAAACAAAUUUUUUAAAAUACACCUUAAAUCAGAUAUUGGAGGAGCAGAGCCAAAAAUAAAAAAAAUAAAAAUAAAGUUCAAGGUGAGGCAUUUUUCCAGUCUUAGAAAACAUAGGAGUGCACAGGAGAGAUCUUUGACACCAGGGAAGAGUCCAAUCUGAAGUGGACACAUAUGGAAGCAGAAACCGUGGCUACAGCAACAGCAACAAUAUCUUUAGGACCAAGAUCAGAAGCAAAUUAAUUGACAGCAGAAUAUUAUUACCUGGCAAGAUCUUUGGAUAAGGGAAGGAUUUGUGACCAAACAGGAGAUAAAGAUAAUUACAGAAUAUAAAAUAGAUAAUUUUGAUUACAUUAAAUUAAAAAGGGGUUGCACAUGUAAAACCAAUGCAACCAAACUUAAAUAUAAAGAAGAAAACGGGAGGGGGAUUAAACUUUUCUCUGAUAAAGGCUUCAUUUUUUUUCAAAUAUAUAAGGAACUUAGUUAAAUUUAAAAGAAUGCGAAUCAUUUCCCAAUUGAGAAAUGGUCAAAGGAUAUAAACAAUUUUCAGAAAAAGAAAUCAAAACUAUCUAUAGUCAUAUGAAAAAAUAUCAUUAUUGUCAAGAGAAAUACAAAUAAAAAACAGAUACCACCUCACACCUAUCAGGUUGGCUAAUGUGACAGAAAAGAAAAAUGACAAAUGUUGGAGAUGUGGGAAAAUUGAGAUAUUAAUGUAGUAUUGGUAGCGUUGGGAACUGUUCCAAUUAUUACAAAGAGCUACCUAGAAUUAUACUAUAAAAUUGUGCAUACCCUUUGACCCAGCAAUAGCACUACUAGGUCUAUAUCCCAGAGAUCAAAAAAAAAAAAAAAAAAAGAAAGAAAGAAAGAAAGAAAGAAAAGAAAAAGGAUCUAUAUAUUAAAAAAAAAUUAAAGCAGCUCUUUUUGUGAUGUCAAAAAACUGAACGAUGAGGGGAUGCUCAUCAACUGAAGAAUGCCUAACAAGUUUUGUAAUUUAUAAUUGUUAUGGAAUGUUGUUUUAUCAUUUGGUAAUGUCCAAAUCUUCUAUACUUAACUAUCUCUGAAAUCUGUCUAAGAUCUUAAUUCAUUGCAUUCAUGAUAGUAUCUAUCAGUCUUAUCCUCUGCCAACCUCUUCUUUUGUCUUCAAUCUGUCCCAACAUUGAGGUCUAUUUCUCAAAGUACUUAACGUUUAGCUUCAGUAUUUGACCUUCCACUGAAUAAAUAGCUUGAAUUAAUUUCUUUAAAUAUUGACUGAUUUGAUCUCCUUACUGUUCCAAGGACUCUCAAAAGUCUUUUUCCCCACAAUUUAAAAGAUUAUUUUAAUGUAAAUAAUAUGUAAAUAAUGAUGCUCAAUUUUCCUUAUAGUCCAAUCUUACAGUUUUGACUAUGUGGACCUUUGUCAACAAGGGGAUGUCUCUGCUUAUUAGUAUAUUGUCCAAAUUUGUGACAGCUUUAUGUCCAAGGAAAACUUGCCUAUUAUUCCAAUUAUCUUUUUCCUACUUUAGCAGUCCAAUAUAGAGUGAUAAAUGUAACUUCUUUUAUAUUGUUAUUUACAAAAGAUAUUAUAGAUCUGAUCAACUUUGGCAUCCAGCCUCAGUAGUGCUUGGAUUACUGUGAUUUUGAAUCUUUUGACUUGGAAAAUUGUACUACAGUAUUGCUUUUCUCACCAUUUUAUUGCCUAUCAGGCAAUAAAAUAAAUUCUAAGGAUACAAUACCAUAUGUAAUGAUCACUUGAAUUAAUAUCUAUUUCCAUUUAUUAAAAUUCACUGACACUCAAGAUUCAAAUGUUUAAUCGUUCCAUCUCCUCUUUGACCACAUCCAGUUUGUGGUCAUAGAUCUUACAUUCUAGAUUCCAAUGCAAUGUUAAUUUUUUUUCUCUUUUUUAUAUUAAGGCUUUUUAUUUUCAUAGUAAUUUUCAACAUUCACUCUUGCAACACCUUGUGUUCCAAAUUUUUCUUUCCCUUUCUUUCCCCCACUCCUUCCUUAGACCGCAAGUAAUCCAAUACAUGUUAAAUAUGAGCAGUUCUUCUAUACAUGCAAUAUUAAUUCUUAAAACAAUUUUCCAUUUGACACCAGAUAUAUCCACAGCUAAACUUCCUUUUGGCCAUGGCCCAGUCACUUCAUUAGUAUUAGAUCUACUUGUAGUUGUCUUCUGCUCUUCCCCAGUAACAUUCUGGACACCUUCCAAUCUGAGGUGUUAAUCUUCCAGUCAUAACUUUAUUAUUUUAAUACUGUCCUUGAGGUUUUCUUGGCAAAGAUACUAAAACUGUCAUUUCCUUCUCCAGUGGAUCACCUUGUGUCAGAACUCUCCAUUAUGACCUGUCCAUCUUGGGUAACCCUGAAUAAUAUAGUUCAUAGUUUCAUUGAGUUACACAAGUUUCUCCAUUAUGUCAAGGCAGCAAAUCCAGGAGGUAUAGCAUUAUUGUGCUAUUUUUUUAAAAUGACAAGUCCGAUGCUUUCAGAAAAAAAAAAAAUUGAGAAGACUUAAGUGAACUGAUACAAAAUGAAGUGGGCAGAACCAGAACAAUGUACACAGUAACAACAAUGUUGUAUAAUGAUAAAUUGUGAAUGACAGCUAUUUUUAAUAAAAUGAUCCAAGAUAACUCUGAAAUACAUAUGAUUAAAAAUGCUCUCUCUCUCUAAGGAAAGAACUGAUAGAAUCCAAAUGCAGAGCAAAGUAUGUGUGAUUGUUGUAUUUAUUGUUGUUUAUUUUCUUAGGGGUUUUUGUUGUUUGUAUUUUCUUCUGCAAUGUGGCUAAUAUGGGAAAAUGUUUUACAUGAUUGCACAUGCAUGAUCUACAUGAAAUUGCUUUUCUUUUUCAAGAAAAAGUCAAGAAAAGAAGAGAGGAAGAGAAUUUGGAACUCAAAAUUUUAAAAAAGACAUGUUAAAAUUUUGUUUUAUGUGUUGUUGGAAAAAAAUAAAACAUUAAAACAGAAAGCUAAUAAGAUGGACUCAUUG